ensembl:snoRNA
GUGCACAUUUGCUUGUCUUUUUUCUUCACAUCAAGAAAAAAGAUAUUUCUGAUGUGCUAAAUAAACCUUUGGAGGUAAUUAGCAGCAUGACUACUUUUGCCACUGCUGUCAGUCACCUUCAGAUAAGC